rnacentral:rRNA from 1 species
CCUACGGGAGGCAGCAGUGAGGAAUAUUGGUCAAUGUGCGCGAGCCUGAACCAGCCAAGUCGCGUGAGGGAAGACGGUCCUAUGGAUUGUAAACCUCUUUUGUCGGGGAGCAAAAGACGCCACGCGUGGCGUUCCGAGAGUACCCGAAGAAAAAGCAUCGGCUAACUCCGUGCCAGCAGCCGCGGGAAUACGGAGGAUGCGAGCUUUAUCCGGAUUUAUUGGGUUUAAAGGGUGCGCAGGCGGAAGAUCAAGUCAGCGGUAAAAUUGAGGGGCUCAACCUCUUCGAGCCGUUGAAACUGGUUUUCUGGAGUGAGCGAGAAGUAUGCGGAAUGCGUGGGGUAGCGGUGAAAUGCAUAGAUAUCACGCAGAACUCCGAUUGCGAAGGCAGCAUACCGGCGCUCAACUGACGCUCAUGCACGAAAGUGUGGGUAUCGAACAGGAUUAGAUACCCCUGUAGUC